GUGCCAGCAGCCGCGGUAAUACGUAGGGUGCGAGCGUUAAUCGGAAUUACUGGGCGUAAAGCGUGCGCAGGCGGUUCGCUAAGACCGAUGUGAAAUCCCCGGGCUUAACCUGGGAACUGCAUUGGUGACUGGCGGGCUAGAGUAUGGCAGAGGGGGGUAGAAUUCCACGUGUAGCAGUGAAAUGCGUAGAGAUGUGGAGGAAUACCCGAUGGCGAAGGCAGCCCCCCUGGGCCAAUACUGACGCUCAUGCACGAAAAGCGUGGGGAGCAAACAGGAUUAGAUACCCCUGGUAGUCC
rnacentral:rRNA from 1 species